rnacentral:rRNA from 1 species
AACACGUGGGUAACCUGCCCAUCAGAAGGGGAUAACACUUGGAAACAGGUGCUAAUACCGUAUAACAAUCAAAACCGCAUGGUUUUGAUUUGAAAGGCGCUUUCGGGUGUCGCUGAUGGAUGGACCCGCGGUGCAUUAGCUAGUUGGUGAGGUAACGGCUCACCAAGGCCACGAUGCAUAGCCGACCUGAGAGGGUGAUCGGCCACAUUGGGACUGAGACACGGCCCAAACUCCUACGGGAGGCAGCAGUAGGGAAUCUUCGGCAAUGGACGAAAGUCUGACCGAGCAACGCCGCGUGAGUGAAGAAGGUUUUCGGAUCGUAAAACUCUGUUGUUAGAGAAGAACAAGGAUGAGAGUAACUGUUCAUCCCUUGACGGUAUCUAACCAGAAAGCCACGGCUAACUACGUGCCAGCAGCCGCGGUAAUACGUAGGUGGCAAGCGUUGUCCGGAUUUAUUGGGCGUAAAGCGAGCGCAGGCGGUUUCUUAAGUCUGAUGUGAAAGCCCCCGGCUCAACCGGGGAGGGUCAUUGGAAACUGGGAGACUUGAGUGCAGAAGAGGAGAGUGGAAUUCCAUGUGUAGCGGUGAAAUGCGUAGAUAUAUGGAGGAACACCAGUGGCGAAGGCGGCUCUCUGGUCUGUAACUGACGCUGAGGCUCGAAAGCGUGGGGAGCAAACAGGAUUAGAUACCCUGGUAGUCCACGCCGUAAACGAUGAGUGCUAAGUGUUGGAGGGUUUCCGCCCUUCAGUGCUGCAGCUAACGCAUUAAGCACUCCGCCUGGGGAGUACGACCGCAAGGUUGAAACUCAAAGGAAUUGACGGGGGCCCGCACAAGCGGUGGAGCAUGUGGUUUAAUUCGAAGCAACGCGAAGAACCUUACCAGGUCUUGACAUCCUUUGACCACUCUAGAGAUAGAGCUUCCCCUUCGGGGGCAAAGUGACAGGUGGUGCAUGGUUGUCGUCAGCUCGUGUCGUGAGAUGUUGGGUUAAGUCCCGCAACGAGCGCAACCCUUAUUGUUAGUUGCCAUCAUUCAGUUGGGCACUCUAGCAAGACUGCCGGUGACAAACCGGAGGAAGGUGGGGAUGACGUCAAAUCAUCAUGCCCCUUAUGACCUGGGCUACACACGUGCUACAAUGGGAAGUACAACGAGUUGCGAAGUCGCGAGGCUAAGCUAAUCUCUUAAAGCUUCUCUCAGUUCGGAUUGCAGGCUGCAACUCGCCUGCAUGAA